CCUACGGGGGGCAGCAGUGGGGAAUAUUGCACAAUGGGGGAAACCCUGAUGCAGCGACGCCGCGUGAGUGAAGAAGUAUCUCGGUACGUAAAGCUCUAUCAGCAGGGAAGAAAAUGACGUUACCUGACUAAGAAGCCCCGGCUAACUACGUGCCAGCAGCCGCGGUAAUACGUAGGGGGCAAGCGUUAUCCGGAUUUACUGGGUGUAAAGGGAGCGUAGACGGCAGAACAAGUCUGGAUGAAAAUCCCGGGGCUUAACCCCGGAACUGCUGUUGAAACUUUGAGUCGAGAGGGUGGGAGAGGUAGGGGGAAUCGUUGGUGUAGGGGUAAAAUCCGUAAAGAGCAAGAAGAAUACUCAUGGAGAAGGCGACCGACUGGAACAUUACUGACGCUCAUGCACGAAAGCGUGGGGAGCAAACAGGAUUAGAUACCCUUGUAGUC
rnacentral:rRNA from 1 species